AGACCGAUAGCGAACAAGUAGAGUGAUCGAAAGAUGAAAAGUACUUUGGAAAGAGAGUUAAAAAGCACGUGAAAUUGUUGAAAGGGAAGCGCCUGCAACCAGACUUCGUGGCAGUGUUCCGCCGGUCUUCUGACCGGUUUAUUCUCUGUCGCGAGGCCAUCAUCGUCUAGGCCCGCCGGAUAAGACCUUAGGAAUGUAGCUCACCUUCGGGGGAGUGUUAUAGCUUAUGGUGAUGCGGCGAGGCUUGGGCGAGGUCCGCGCUUCGGCAAGGAUGAUGGCGUAAUGGUUGUCGGCGGCCCGUCUUGAAACACGGACCAAG
rnacentral:rRNA from 3 species